AGGAAGGAAAUGAGAUGUCAGUUUAGGUAAAAUAGAAAAAGCACUUCACAUACAACAACACAAUUCAUUCACUCAUUCUAAUUACAUUUAUAGAAAUAUUACAAGAACUGAAUAUGGUAAAAGACCAUAUCAAGGACAUGCUCAAAACUGUUUGAUCAAAGAUUCAAAUGAUGGAAACAAAUAAAUAAAACCCACUAGCUCAAAACAUGUAGCACAGCUCGAAUAACAUGCAAGAAGCCCAGUUUGUCAGUAGGAGUAGUCUACUCAACUAUAGCUACUUGACAAAUAAAUUAACUUAAAGUUAACCCUUGAUCAGUGCUUGUCAUCGAAACAAAAGAGCAAUCCUGGAACUAAUAAUGUCAUAAAUCUCAACUUCUUGCAGCUUUGCAAACCUUGAAGAAACCCGAGAGCAAUCCUCAAUAAAGAAAAAGAAAAUAAGCAUAGCAUCCCCGCCCAUAAAGUCAAUCUAACAUUAAGCCAUUAGAUCAUAAUAUUUAUUGAUCCACUAAAUGCUUUUCAACAUUGCAAGUGAUCAAGAUAAUGGAAACAUGGU